AGGACGAACGCUGGCGGCGUGCUUAAAACAUGCAAGUCGAACGAGACCUUUGGUCUAGUGGCGAACGGCGGAGUAAUACAUAAGCAACCUGCCUCAAAGACCGGGAUAGCCCCUCGAAAGAGGGAUUAAUACCGGAUGUGGCCUUUUGUGGGCAUCCACGAAAGAUUAAAACGAGUAAUCGGCUUUGAGAGGGGCUUGUGGCCUAUCAGCUUGUUGGUGGGGUAAUGGCCCACCAAGGCUUCGACGGGUAGCGGGUCUGAGAGGAUGAUCCGCCCGACUGGGACUGAGACACGGCCCAGACUCCUACGGGAGGCAGCAGUUGGGAAUCUUGCACAAUGGGCGAAAGCCUGAUGCAGCGACGCCGCGUGGAGGACGAAGUCUCUCGGAUGUAAACUCCUUUUGCCAGGAACGAUAAUGACGGUACCUGGUGAAUAAGCCCCGGACUAACCUACGUGCCAGCAGCCGC
rnacentral:rRNA from 1 species